UGGGGAAUAUUGCACAACGGGCGAAAGCCUGAUGCAGCAACGCCGCGUGAGUGAUGAAGGCCUUCGGGUUGUAAAGCUCUGUCUUCUGGGACGAUAAUGACGGUACCAGAGGAGGAAGCCACGGCUAACUACGUGCAAGCAGCCGCGGUAAUACGUAGGUGGCAAGCGAUGUCCGGAUUUACUGGGCGUAAAGGAUGCGUAGGCGGAUACUUAAGUCAGAUGUGAAAAUCCCGGGCUUAACUUGGGAACUGCAUUUGAAACUGGGUAUCUAGAGUGCGGGAGAUGAAAGUGGAAUUCCUAGUGUAGCUGUGAAAUGCGUAGAGAUUAGGAAGAACACCAGUGGCGAAGGCGACUUUCUGGACCGUAACUGACGCUGAGGCAUGAAAG
rnacentral:rRNA from 1 species